UACAGAGGUCUCAAGCGUUGUUCGGAAUCACUGGGCGUAAAGGGUGUGUAGGCUGUGCGUUAAGUCAGAUGUGAAAGCCCAGGGCUCAACCUUGGAACUGCAUCCGAUACUGGCGUGCUAGAGAAUUGGAGAGGAGUCUAGAAUUCACGGUGUAGCAGUGAAAUGCGUAGAUAUCGUGAGGAAUACCAAGUGCGAAGGCAGGACUCUGGACAUUUUCUGACGCUGAGACACGAAGGCUAGGGGAGCAAACGGG
rnacentral:rRNA from 2 species